rnacentral:rRNA from 1 species
GCUGGCGGCAUGCCUAACACAUGCAAGUCGAACGGUAACGCGGAGAGCUUGCUCUCUGGCGACGAGUGGCGGACGGGUGAGUAAUACUUAGGAAUCUGCCCAGUAGUGGGGGACAACUCGGGGAAACUCGAGCUAAUACCGCAUACGCCCUACGGGGGAAAGCGGGGGAUCUUCGGACCUCGCGCUAUUGGAUGAGCCUAAGUCGGAUUAGCUUGUUGGUGA